AAUGGGCGGAAGCCUGACGCAGCAACGCCGCGUGCGGGAUGAAGGCCUUCGGGUUGUAAACCGCUUUCAGCAGGGAAGAAGCGAAAGUGACGGUACCUGCAGAAGAAGCACCGGCUAACUACGUGCCAGCAGCCGCGGUAAUACGUAGGGUGCAAGCGUUGUCCGGAUUUAUUGGGCGUAAAGAGCUCGUAGGCGGUUAGUCGCGUCGGAUGUGAAAUCCCAGUGCUUAACACUGGGCCUGCAUUCGAUACGGGCUGACUAGAGUGUUGUAGGGGAGACUGGAACUCCUGGUGUAGCGGUGAAAUGCGCAGAUAUCAGGAAGAACACCGGUGGCGAAGGCGGGUCUCUGGGCAACUACUGACGCUGAGGAGCGAAAGCGUGGGGAGCAAACAGGAUU
rnacentral:rRNA from 1 species